GCCGGGGGGUGGGGGUUGCCUUCAGGCAGAUGGCAAAAACAAAAGGGUUCAGCACAACAAAAUGAACCAUUUCUGGGAUCUCUUGCUCAGAAUGAGAUGCGACCUAAAUCAUCACAGCAUGGGUGGCCCAAGAACAAGAAGUCUGUGUUAGGUGAGUGUUGGCUAUGGUAGGCAGAGUCGAUGCAGCCGAAAAUAUUUGGGCCAAUUCCCUCAAUGCCAUUAAAAUUUUAGCUAAUCCCUUGAUUGCCAUUGGCCCCACAUGUCAGACACAAAAAAAUCCCUUCAAUGUCAUUUAGUGGCAUUCAAGGGAUUGGCGAAAAUUUCAAUGGCAUUCAGGGAAUUAACUCAAAAUAUUUCAGUUAAUACUGCAACAAAUAGGCGCCGGCGGCUAGAAUAGUACUGGGAGGAAGGCUUGCUCUGUUUACAGACUGUUCAAAUGGAAAUAGUAUCAUCCCAGGAUUGGUUUGUUUGGACUUUGGAGGCAGCCUACAGAUUUUGGGUAUGAACCACCAGCUAGGAUUUUAGCCAAGACAGGUGGUUGAUACGCCUAAGCUGUAUGCGAGGUCAAAGCACAACUGGUAAAGCUGUACUGUAUCUGAUAGGCUGUACUGUAUCUGAUAGAGGUGGCCUGGUCUAUGCAUUAGCAAUUGUAUUUUCAGGGAAACCUGGAAAACAUUUACAGCAAGAUUGCAGUGCAGCAGUAACUGCUAGAUGGUGCAGAUCUUUUCAAUGGUUUUAAACUUGGCUGAUGAGGUUCUGUGGCUGAGUAUAAGA